rnacentral:lncRNA from 1 species
GAGAGGACUGUUGCCUCCUUGUCAAUGUCCCCAUCCUGGGAAGCCUGCCUGUGUGCACCAAGGCCCAUCUGACCCAUAUAUCAGAAAAGGUGCCCUUCUAGGGAGCGACACCCCCCACCAAGCCCCCCAGUCACUGUCCAUGCUUUCCUCUAGGUUAAAAAUGCAGCUGCAUCUGUGCAGAAACCAGGUGUUGUCUGUGAGUUCUGCCUCGCUGGCCAGAGGUGGAAGGAAGGAGGAAAGGAGAGGGGCCUCCAUACUUCCAGAGCCCCACUGGGGGUUACCUUCGCUUGCCCCCACUCUUUUUGUCUUGCUCUGAGGAUGCCAGGACUUUAAGGACAUUGUCAGCAAGCACAGAAAGAAUCUCAGUCAUCUGGACUGCUUGGUG